GCCAGAUGUGACAGCAUGUGCCUGUAAUCCCAGCUACUCAGGAGGCUGAGGCAGGAGGAUCGCUUGAGCCCUGGAGUUCUGGGCUGUAGUGCGUGCACUAUGUGGAUCGACUGUCCACACUCAGUUUGGCAUCAGUAUGGUGACCUCCUGGGAGCAAGGGACCACCAGAUUGCCUAAAGAUGGCUGAAAUGAUCCAGGUCGAAAAUGGAGUAGGUCAAAACUUCUGUGCUGAUCAGUAACAGCAUUGUGUCUGUGAAUAACCACUGCACUCAAGCCUGGGCAACAUAGCGAGACCCUGGUCUCUU
rfam:Chlorocebus sabaeus isolate 1994-021 chromosome 4, whole genome shotgun sequence.